UACGUAGGUGGCAAGCGUUGUCCGGAUUUACUGGGCGUAAAGGGCGUGCAGGCGGUCUGUUAAGUCUAGGGUGAAAGCUCCCGGCUCAACUGGGAGAGGUCCUUGGAUACUGGCGGACUUGAGGGAGGUAGAGGAAAGUGGAAUUCCCGGUGUAGUGGUGAUAUGCGUAGAUAUCGGGAGGAACACCAGUGGCGAAGGCGGCUUUCUGGGCCUUACCUGACGCUGAGACGCGAAAGCGUGGGGAGCGAGCCGG
rnacentral:rRNA from 1 species